UACGAAGGGGGCUAGCGUUACUCGGAUUGACUGGGCGUAAAGGGCGCGUAGGCGGCUUGUACAGUCAGACGUGAAAUUCCUGGGCUCAACCUGGGGGCUGCGUUUGAUACGUGCGGGCUUGAGUUCGGAAGAGGGUCGUGGAAUUCCCAGUGUAGAGGUGAAAUUCGUAGAUAUCAAGCAGAACACCUGCGGCGAAGGCGGCCUUCUGGACGAUGACUGACGCUGAGACGCGAAAGCGUGGGGAGCAAACAGG
rnacentral:rRNA from 1 species